rnacentral:rRNA from 1 species
AACGAACGCUGGCGGCAUGCCUAACACAUGCAAGUCGAACGAGACCUUCGGGUCUAGUGGCGCACGGGUGCGUAACGCGUGGGAACCUGCCCUUAGGUUCGGAAUAACUCCCCGACAGGGGUGCUAAUACCGGAUAAUGUCUUCGGACCAAAGAUUUAUCGCCUUUGGAUGGUCCCGCGUUGGAUUAGCUAGUUGGUAGGGUAAAAGGCUACCAAGGCGACGAUCCAUAGCUGGUAUGAGAGGAUGAUCAGCCACACUGGGACUGAGACACGGCCCAGAAUCCUACGGGAGGCAGCAGUGGGGAAUAUUGGACAAUGGGCGAAAGCCUGAUCCAGCAAUGCCGCGAGAGUGAUGAAGGCAUUAGGGUUGUAAAGCUCUUUUACCCGGGAUGAUAAUGACAGUACCGGGAGAAUAAGCUCCGGCUAACUCCGUG